rnacentral:rRNA from 1 species
AGGUGCGAUCAUACCAGCACUAAUGCACCGGAUCCCAUCAGAACUCCGAAGUUAAGCGUGCUUGGGCGAGAGUAGUACUAGGUUGGGUGACCUCCUGGGAAGUCCUCGUGUUGCACCCC